CGCGUCCUGCCCGCACCGCCGCCGCUCUCCGCGCCGCGCGCACUUCGUCGACUGGUACCUCGUCCUCGCCGUAAGUACAUACGCAUGCACGUCCUUCUUCCUCGUUGCGCCUCUGUUUUCGGCAUCGUGUUACUUAACUCAAUGUCCGGAACCGGUGGCAGAUCGGCGAGGCCUCGUCGGAGGACGCCAUCAACCGGCGGUACCGGCACCUCGGUACGCAUACAUCCGCAACCGUUAAUUGCUGCGUUUAAUUACUGAUCAUACAUUCGUACAUCGAUGGUAAAAUUGAUUUGACAUUCGGGAGCAGCGCUGCAGCUGCACCCGGACAAGAACAGGCACCCCAAGGUGUAUUUAUUCGCCUAAAUGACCUUUUUUUCGCCUAAACGCAAUUAUGGCCCCGCUGAAAACUUAUAUGCCGACAAUCUGCAAGUCGCGUUCGAUAUACGUACAGACGCCAAACCGCUUCCCGUCUUUGACCGUCAACGACAAACAAUCGUCGGUCAACAAUCCGGCACCCCAUGGACACGUCCUGCCGAGUAGACGCCACACCGUUGUCGCCACUAACAAUGUACUUCAGAGCAUGUUAGUUGCAACUAACAUUGUCAACUGCACUAACAUCAUGUUAGCACGCCCGAUGCACACGUAACGCAGCAACCAAAUAGUCGUGCCAACGAUAGAGAGCACCGCUAUCAAGUAGACGUGCUUGUUUUGUUUCCGACGCCAUAUAAUCUGUUCAGACAACUUAGCAAACGUGUCAAACAAUUAGUCGACAUUCUUCACGGUGGAUGGAAAGUUGUUAGCAGUCUUCUUUACCAUUAAUAAAUUGUCCCUCGACCGGCACGCCAUUAUUUGGGAAGUCGUGUCGAAAACCUCAAAGUCCAUUGUCCAUGGAAGUGGUGGGCUUUUCUGCUGGGCCGAGAAGUGAAGGUAUUCGAGCCUAUGACUUCCUUGAGAAAACGCUACAUCUGCAACAUUUGCGACGAGCAGAUGCAAUCCUACCUUAAUUAUAGUAGUGCCAUGAGUACCUUAACUGCCUAUAUUUUGUUGGGCGAACAGCAGCUGAUGUUCUGCUAUUAAUCAACAUCUUGCAUUGCUGUGUUAACUGUAUUUUGUGGUAAUGCUUGAACAGUUGAUUGAAAUGUGUUUGUCAGUAUUGUUUUUCUUGUAUAAAUUGAUUUCCCCUUCUAGGAUAGAUAUAACUUUGUCAAUUGUGUUUGCAUAAGUGGGCGUAGAAUUCUUUCCAUGGUUCUAAUAUUUUUUUCCUUGUAUACCCAUCUUUAGAAUUAAUGGUAGCCCCCGACAAAUGUUGAAAUUUGUGCAUGUCAUACCGUGUCGACCAACAUAUUUUUUUUCUUGUAUAGACCCCGGCUUCGAAAAACUAAGGUAGUCCCACAUCAUACCGUGUCAACACAGUAUGUUAACUUCUUUUUUUUUUGCGGGUGAAACGAGAUUGUAUUAAUUAAGAAAAGGUGUUACACUCGUUUUCACAAAUAAGAGAAAGAUCCUCAGGCCCAGAGCCUAGCCAAACCAUCAUACGCUGGGUGGUGCGUCCCCUAUGAGCUAGACAAUGGGCGGCACUGUUGGCUGAUCUCCGGACGUGGCCAAAACUAUGCCUCCGGAUCCCAUGCAGGGCCCUCUUCGUCUCCUCCACCCAGCUCGCCAGUGAAGAUCUGUUGACGCUGCUAUCCAUCAGGGCGUCCACUCCCUCCUUGCAAUCUAAUUCAAUGAUUAAUGGCUUCUCCGUUCGCUGCAGCGCCAAGGACGUGCCCUAAAGACACGCUGCCAUUUCCGCCUCCAUCGGGGAGCAACAUGAUCGAAGAAAGCGACACGAAGAGAAGAUGAUGGCCCCGAUGUUGUUAUUCUCGCCAUGGACGUAUGAUCCAUCCACGUUGAGCUUCGCCCAUCCCGCCGGAGGUUUCUCCCAAGUUGUGUUAGCUUGUAUACCUGUCGGUGAUGCUACUGUUUGCUUGACCAUAUGCGGUACACUCUGAACCAUCUUGCCUUUCACCAAAUCUCCUUGUGGAUGCUGCUUGAUGCACAGUAGGGACUCGAUGUAGCUAUUCAAGAAUCUCCGCGAACACUCGAUAGGUGGUGCCGGCUUGUAAUGUGUGACCUCGUUCCUACAAUGCCACACACGCCAAAAGGUCAUGAGGAUGACCAGCCGUUGCAACUCGGUGCAGUUAUCCAGGAGGUGAAGUAGCCAUUCCUUGCCAGUGUUCAUGACCGUCGCCAGGUCCGGGAGUGGCCAUGACUCCCUCAUGGCCUCCCAUAGUGCACCCGCCAUGGGGCACCUGCAAACAGCGUGGAAGGUGUCCUCCCGCUCAACGCCACAUAGGCCACACACAUCCGAUUUUUCCAAGGUUCUCUUAUGCUUAUUCUCCAUCGUAGCCAAUGAGUUUGUCGCAAUUCGCCAGCCGAAUACGCAUACCUUAGGUGGAACAGGGCACCUCCACAAUGCUCUCCAGAUGGCACAAUUGCCAUCCGGUGCCCUGCUCGCGGCGCAUGAAGACGUGCGAAAUUUAUCCUCAAGACCAAUCUUGUAGGCCGACUUGACAGAAAAGAUGCCUUUUGGGUCUGGGCCCCAAGCCAAGACAUCAUGCAUCCUUGGCGAGGGACGCAACUUUAGUAUUUCAUCAACAUCGGGUGGCAAGAAGUGUUGUUGAAGUAGCUCAGUGUUCCAUGCACCACGAUCAUCAAGUAGUUUUGCCACUCGGCGUAAUCGGCACCUUCCAGCCUGUGAUAUGGGCCGGUAUGACGCCGGCCGUUCGAGCCAAGGGUCGCGCCAGAUACGAACAUUUUGACCGUCACCGAUCCGCCAUACAUUUUGACCGUCACCGUUCGAGCCAAGGAGCUCCAAGCCAUAUGUUAUGGCCUGCCAAGUAGAGGACGCGUUACCUGCAAAAACAGUAUCCUCCAACCGCCCAUUAGGAUAAUAUUUAGCUUUCAAAACCCUUGCACAUAAGCUGUCCGGAUUGAUGAGUAAUCGCCAUGCCUGCCGUGCCAAAAGCGCCUGAUUGAACAACCUAUAAUCCCGAAACCCCAGACCACCCAUCGCUUUGGGUUUGAUGAUCUCAUCCCAGGCCAUCCAGUGGGUUUUCCGUUUCCCUUUCUCCCUCCGUUUCCCUUUCUCCGCACCCCGCCAAUAAUUCCGGACCAUCCGAGUAAGAUCAUCACAUACAGAGAAUGGCAAUUUAAAUACUCCCAUGAUGUACGUAGGGAUGGAUUGCGCCACCGCCUUGAUCAAUACUUCUCUCCCAGCUUGGGCCAUGUAGCCAUCUCCCCAUAUACAGAUGUGUUUCAUUAACUUCAUUUGCAAAUUUUGGAACUUGCCUUUAUGCAUACGACCGUCUGGUGUUGGAAGUCCCAAAUAUUUGUCAUCAAAUUGAUCUUUCAUAACCUGUAGCUCUUGUUUUAUUAUUUCCUGUGCAUUAUUCGGACAUGACUGUCCAAACAGAAUCGAACAUUUGGCUGGGUUUAUGAGCUGUCCGGUGGCUCUCUCGUACACAUGUAUAAUCUCCUUGACUGCCACAUCCUGCUGUUUGUUCUCCUUGAAAAAUAGGAGUGUAUCAUCAGCGAAUAACAUGUGCGAGACCCCCGGUGCAGCCCGGCAUAUUUUCAGUGAUUCAAUAGCAUUUGAUCGCACCCCUUGUUUGAGCAACUCAGACAAACCAUCAGCCACAAAGAGGAAAAUAAAUGGUGAGAGGGGAUCACCUUGCCGAAGACCACGCUCCGGUGCGAAUGAUUCUAAGAGGGUUCCAUUAAAUUUAACCGUGUAUCUCACCGUGGUGACGCGCGUCAUGAUCCAUUGCACCCACCGGUGAGCAAAGCCCAACUUAUUCAUCACUCGCUCCAAGAAUCCCCAAUCAACCCUGUCGUAGGCUUUGGAGAGGUCCAACUUGUAUGCACAGAAACUAGCAUCCGGUUUCUUCUCUUGAUGUAUUGCAUGAACACACUCAAAGGCCAACAGUGCAUUAUCCGUAAUCAAACGACCUGGAAUAAAUGCGCUCUGAAACGGUGAUAUGAUCUCAUCCAGUAUAGGGCUCAAGCGAUUAACCAGACACUUUGCAACAAUCUUAUAAAUUACGUUGCAAAGACUGAUGGGCCUAAAAUCUGUAACCCGUGUUGGUUCAUCUGACUUUGGAAUAAGAACAAUGAUCGCCUCAUUUACACCCUCGGGCAUAACACCGGUCUGGAAAAAAUUCCUCACUGCCCUAACAAUUUCCUCCUUGAAAAUGCUCCAGUUCCGCUGAAAGAAGCGAGCCGGCAGCCCGUCACUUCCUGAAGCUUUUAGGGGGCCGAUCUGAAAGAGUCCGUCAGCUAUCUCUUUUUCAGAAAAUUCAGCACACAACUUGUCGUUCAUCUCGUCUAAAAUUCAGCACACAACUUAUCGUUCAUCUCGUCUGUUACAACUGUCUCAAAAAGAUUUACCACUGGAGUAGGAUCCAAGGUCGGGUCACGUGCAAAGAUAGACUGAAAAUAAUCUUGCACCAAGUUCCCCAUGAUAGUAUGAUCAACUUGUUCCACACCAUUGUUAUCAAUCAGGCUUUUCACUUUAUUUUUACGCGCUCGCCAACACACUAUGUUAACUUCAACAUAUAUGCAUUAAGUAUCUUGCUCAAUGCCUCAAGUUGAGCACCUACGUCCAUUUCUUUGAAGCAACUCUUAGCUUACCUAUAAGCCGGCAAACGUUUAAUUUCUAAAAUGAACUUUACUCGAAGGCUUGAAGAUUGGGUUUUCAAAAAGAAAAUGGACUUUCAUGUUUUGUUGGAGUUGCAACCUGCCAGCCCCUCUCUUCACUCUCAGCUGGAUUUGACGCUCCCAGAUGAUUUUAUGCUCCUCACUGAGUUUUUACACUCCCUUCUUCCUCACACAGAUGCCUCUCAAGAGUACACACGCACACAUUACACUAUUCAACAACGAAUGUCUGGGCGCUCGCUAGGGCAUGCCACAUCGUCACCGAAAAAAGGCAACUAGGCGACGCUUCGUGGUUGGCUACUUGUUGCCAUUGGCCCACAUGGCCCUUGUUAGUUCGACCGACUCGGUCGGGAGGUUGCCUUCCUAGGAAGCUUUCUGCCGCAUACAUUGCCCGCCUCCCAGAACUAGCCCCUACUGUCCUUUCCCUGGCUUUUGGCCCGGUUGGUAAGGCCCUUUUAGUCCCGGUUUUUGAACUGGGACUAAAGGGUCGUUACUAAUGCCUCUCCCUUUUAGUCCCGGUUCUUACACGAAGCGGGACUAAAGACCGCGGCCACGUGGAGCUCCACCUUUAGUCCCGGUUGGUGUUUUUUGAAAAAAAAAUGAAUUUUUUUUUGAUUUUUAAAUUUCUGAAUUAUUUUAACCUCUAAUCUCUAAUCAUCACUACUCAAUUUAUCCUCUAAUCUCUAAUCACCCCUCAUCAUUCCAAAUCAUCUAACUUCCUGAACGGUCACCCAUCCUCCCACUCCCCCAGCCUGAGCACGCUUAACUUCCGGGUUCUAUUCUCCCUCGUUUCCAAGUCUGCACUUGUUGUUUUCCUGACAAUAGUAAGAUGUCAAUCCUAUUAACCCUCGGGAAUUUUGCUUGAGCAUGAAGUGACACAUUUCACUGUUUGAGUUUGAAACUAUUGUUUUAAAAAACAAUAAUUAUUUAGUAACACUAAUAUUUCUUGAAUAAUUAGUUUGACCAUUGUUUGACCAUAGUUUGACCAGAUUUGACCAAAAUUCAAAAUAACUGAAAUAAUUAUUUAGUAACACUAAUAUUCUAGAAUAAUUAGUUUGACCAUUGUUUGACCACAGUUUGACCACAGUUUGACCAGAUUUGACCAAAAUUCAAAAUAAAUAAAAUAAUUAUUUAGUAACAGUAAUAUUCUAGAAUAAUUAGUUUGACCAUUGUUUGACCACAGUUUGACCAUAGUUUGACUAGAUUUGACCACAUUUUUUCCAAAAAAAAUUUUGAAACUAUAUUUUUUCUGUUACUAGUGGCGCACCUAGCAAAUGGUGCGCCACUAGUAAGUUUGAAUUUUUUUCGAUUUUUUCCACUCUAGAUCUUAAAAGCCCCGUAACUUUUUUCUGUUAGGUUUUUGAGGAUAUUGAAAAUGUUUAACGGGGUUUCCCCCGUUAGAUUCGGAUGUAACUUUUCGAGUAGAUGAUUUUUCAUAUAAAAAACUUUUUCAUCCGAGUUCGUAUGCAAAAGUUAUGCCCAUUUUACAAAUUCCAGAGAGAUUUUGCAAAUAAAGUCGAAAUUCAUAUUUGUAAAUUUUCCCAACAACUAGACCACAUAUCACAUGGGAAACUUUUUUUUUUGACAUUUCNNNNNNNNNNNNNNNNNNNNNNNNNNNNNNNNNNNNNNNNNNNNNNNNNNNNNNNNNNNNNNNNNNNNNNNNNNNNNNNNNNNNNNNNNNNNNNNNNNNNNNNNNNNNNNNNNNNNNNNNNNNNNNNNNNNNNNNNNNNNNNNNNNNNNNNNNNNNNNNNNNNNNNNNNNNNNNNNNNNNNNNNNNNNNNNNNNNNNNNNNNNNNNNNNNNNNNNNNNNNNNNNNNNNNNNNNNNNNNNNNNNNNNNNNNNNNNNNNNNNNNNNNNNNNNNNNNNNNNNNNNNNNNNNNNNNNNNNNNNNNNNNNNNNNNNNNNNNNNNNNNNNNNNNNNNNNNNNNNNNNNNNNNNNNNNNNNNNNNNNNNNNNNNNNNNNNNNNNNNNNNNNNNNNNNNNNNNNNNNNNNNNNNNNNNNNNNNNNNNNNNNNNNNNNNUGAAAAUGGGACCUUUAGUACCGGUUCGUGCCAUGAACCGGUACUAAUGCCUCAAAGCCCAUUAGUACCGGUUGGUGGCACCAACCGGGACUAAAGGUCUAACCUUUACUCCCGGUUGGUGCCACCAACCGGGACUAAUGGGCAUCGCACCCUUUAGUCCCGGUUCGUGGCACCAACCGGGACUAAAGGGCCCAGGUGAACCGGGACUAAUGCCUUAGCCGCACGAACCGGGACGAAUGCGCACAUUAGUCCCGGUUCGUGACUGAACCGGGACUAAUGUGAAUACUGCCCUGUGACCAAAGCCAUGUUUUCUACUAGUGUCUACGAAUCCAACCCUUCCAUAAUCAGGUCUCGACGCCCGCAUCUACCAUUUGCAGCGCCAUCGUGGCGGAUCCUGCACUUGCGGGUGGUCGAGCAGGCCGACCAAGCCCAUGGAGGUAGGAGGAGGCCUUGGGGAAUGGGCAUGGUGAGAGCGGCCAGCCAUCGGCGGAACCGCACUGCCAUCUCCCAUCUCCUGGUGCUCGCUAGGUGGAGCAUGGAUUCGGCGAUGUGCAUCUGCUAAAUGAACCGCCCGUCCGGUCACCUCCGUACAAGGUAUGCAUAGGUUUUGUUUUGUUGUCAACUCAAGUGGUGAUUCUUUGAUGGGUUCAAACUUCCAAUUUGAUAGGCCUACAAAAGAAGAGCAGAGAACAUCCCUCUUCCUUUACAUCUACAAUUGAAUUUACAGGUGAUUGUUCCAUGGAGUUCAAGUAUUUGUCAAAUUGCUUGCAAAGAAUAUAAUGCAAUGUUGAUAGGUUUAUUGAUAUGCCUCGUAUGCAAGCUCCUGACCCAAUGCAGAAGUUUUCUAUUGUGGAAAAAAGAUGUCAGUUUCAUCUAUCAAUGUUGGCAAAGUAAAUCUUAUAGCAGAGGUGGAACUUAAUAUUUCUUGACCUUUCAGAUCCUAAAGUCACGUGGAUUUGCCCUCGAAAGGGGUAGUAGUUGGUAAUGUCCUUUUGCGAAGUAUUUGUCGUGAUUUCUUUUCUCAAGAAGGCAUUAGUAUGUAUAACGCAACAUAACAUUUGGACCGGGCAACAUUGGCUCUACUUAGCUUGUUGAACGAUGAAACAUUAACCACCAAUGCUUUAUUUACAUGAUCUUUGUAACAAUAAGUUGUACACUGCUAGAUGUAUCACUACAAUACAUAACUUAGAAAUUCAAUGAGGUUCACCCUUCUCAAAUAGAAAAGGCUCAGGAAAUCCAUCCUUUGUAUAAAAGUUUAGCCUCUUAACUACCAGAGGACAAGGCAGGUAAUCAAGGGAUACUCGACUAUUGACCUACCGAAGGACACAUAACUUCAUGUAGACGCUACCACCCAAGUCCUUUAUAAGGAUAAAGGUAGGCUUCCCCAAAAAAACAUGAAUAGCAUGUUCCUCAUUUCACUUCUUUGUCUUCAAAUUUCCCAAUCUUACUUGUUCAUCAUUUGUUGUGUCUCCGCACAAUAAAUAUUUGAGUUUGAUAAAAUGGCAUAGCAGGCACCGGGAAUCAUCCAUUGAUGUUAAGAACAAAAGCAUGCACAUUUUCCCGAUGUGUAUCCAUUGCAUCCAGAUGGGUCUGCUCAGUCAAAUGUUCACCAUCCACUAGCUGGGUUGUCCACCUAUAAUGUACGCCAAAUUCUCACUACAUACGUUGUACUGAGGAAGAAGUAGCGUUAUCUGCUGCUUUGACUAUUUACAUGGUGUGCACUGGAACAAGACGCUAUAGCAACUUCCAUUCCCAACAUCAUGUGCCACGCUGCCAGAAAGAACAGGAGUAGUAGUAGCUCGGUGCAUCGCCCUGGUAGCCCAUAAAGAGGAGGACGUCGAAGAACUGCGUUUUAAAGUCACAACAAUAUAUGUGGCCCGGGAAGUAGCGAGCAUGGUGGCUUUGUCGUCCAAAUCUCGAAUUUUGGUGUAGAUGUGAUGCGAGGGCUUUUUGUUUCUCGUUUCAAAAACCGGAACUCCUUUACAAUGAUGCAUGGUACGAUAACAAACCUAGCUGGUGACACGACGUGCGUGCAUCUGCAUACUCAAUCCCAUCUCUUUUUGGCUCCACCUCUUCUUCCUCCUCGGAACCACCCCCACUCUCGAUCUCUUCCCCUCCCCACUCCACUAGAUGGAAAAGAAGUUACAACAACAAAAAUCUGUCCUCACCCUCCCACCCCUAUUUCACAAGCACAAAAUGCUUUAUCACUCAUACAUACAUGUGUGUUAUGCCCUACCUUGCGGCGAUUCAAGCCACCAUUGCACACUUCACUAUCGAUUGGUCGGUCUGGCAUGUGGGGAUGUCAAUGGAGGAAACAACCGGUAAGGCACCGGCGGCACAUGAGGUGUGUGCCGCGUCGAGGGCACCUUUCCGUCUUGUCCACACCUCCGAUGCUGACCCACUGCCUGCACUUAGUCGACUGGUACCUCGUCCUCGCUAUAGGAGAAACGUAUGCCCGUCCGUCCAUGUCUAGAUGAAACACUCAUUUUCUCUAUGGACGAGAGGAAGUGUGUUGAAUCCAUAUCCAAAUUGUUUGUUUCGUAAUUUAUUACACACAAGUUUUGUUUGAGCAUCUCAUUACCCGCAAAGUGUUCUCUCCAUUCAAAUCCAUGGUGAUACAUACUAUAGAGAAAAAUGCAACUUUUGAGGGCAAGCUUGAGCUUGUUCAAGCCUGCCCCUUAGAUUUGCCCCAUCGACAGCAGUACUUAAUGUUAGGUGGCAUAGCGAAGCGCACAUCUUCCUCUCAGAGCUAUUGAUCGAGUAAGGACUCGUAAUUUAAUGUCAAUGCUAGCACCCCAUUCCUUUAUAAUGAGCAAACUAGAUUUUCUUAAGCAAAAGAUGAAUAACUCGUUCCUCAUUUUACUUCAUUGUCAUGAAAUUGUCCGUUUUAUCAUGCAUUAUUUGUUGUCUCUCCAGCCAAUAAAUAUUUGAAAUCCAUAGCAUGUGCAUAGAGGCACCAAUAAUUACCAACGAAAUACUAAAGUUACAAUGUGGACCACUUCGUUUAGAUUGGCGCCCAGCCCUCCAUCUUACUUUCUAGCAUCACCUCUUCUUUUUCGGAUGACUGUCGCACCCACUAUCGUUGCCGUGUAUGUCAUGCUCUUAUGACAUCUCAAGAAAUAAACCACAUGAUAUGUUUCUUCUUGUCAGUGAUAUGGAAUGGUGAUUGGAGGAGAUUGGUUCGUGGCGCUCAAUGGUUCAUCACGCCAACACAUACGACAUCUUGUUACUGGAGUGUGGAACAAGUGAUGAAUCUGGUAGAGUUGAGUCGCACCAAAAUGGUUACAUCUAAAUACAAAAUAACAGAGCAUUGCAACACGAAGUGGAUUAAUCUCUUUAAACAGUUUGACAGUUGAAAAUUUUCUUGCAAAGAGCUAUUUAACCACAAAGGUAUGGGCUUGAGGCCGAGGAUUCUUGCGCAUGGGGGGCAGUGGGAGAAGAGAAUCGAUAUGAUCCAUAUAUAUAUGGUCGCUUCAAAUAAAAAUAAUGAACUUAAAAUACCAAAUUGUCUAUCAGUGUUGGCAAAAGACAUUCUAAAGUAUGGUGAAACUUAAUAAUAUUUUACCUUUCAAAUCCUAAAAUCACGUGCAUUUGAACAUGGAGGUAGUACCGGUUCGUAGUGUUCUUUUGCUAAGUAUCAUCGUAAUGUUUUUAUCAAGGAGGUACUAGCAUGUACAAUGCAACAUGGCAUUUGAACUAGACAAAGUUGGCUCUACUUAGCUUGUCAAGAAUGAAACAUUAGCGCUGACUUUACAAAGUAAUAAUAAGUUUUGUGUGUUGGGUAGGUGUGUCUUCUUAAUGUAGAGGUCGGAAGUCUAAUAAUCCCUCCGGUCCAUAUUACUACUAAAGCUGUACUAAAACAACACAAGUAAUAUGGACCGAAGGGAGUGGUGUUUUAUUCUUUAAAAAGAAGAAAGGUGCAACCUAUUCGUCAAAUGCCUGAAAUCAUAUUUUCCGCCGGUCAAUUCUGUCGUCUGUUUGAUCUAAAAGAUAUGUCCAAAUGUGUCUCUUCUUCGUCAGAACGGUUUUGUCUCCUCAGACACGAUUUGUCUCUCUCACCCUUCUCCUUUCAUCCCACGCCUCCAGCACCUCAUGCCUUGCCUCUGUCGAUGUCACGUCCAAGCCCUUGCCGGCGAGGCCGAGGCCAUCUGUGGCAUUGACGUCCCGAGAUUGGGUAUUGUCCAAUCUGAGAGUGAGUCCAAAUUAUAUGUACAAUCUUAUGGAGCAUUGUUUGUUUAAAGCUCUUGUAUCCUCUGAGUCGGAAUAGUACUUAACUUGCUUUGAUCACAACAUUUUUGUUGCUGAAGCUAUAGAAAAUGGGACGCACAAAUUUUCUUUUAGAAGAACUUUAUAUGGGCAAUCUUAGAAUUACAGAAUAGCUUGAAAGAGGGUGUGAAGAAGUCAUCAUUCAUGGGGGAAAAGAUCAAACUCUGUGGAUGAUGUCUGCUGACAGGAAAUUUUUAGUCAAGUCUCUUUAUAUGAUUCUUUUUAAGAAUAAUUCUGGUUUCCCGUAUAAAUUAUUAUGGAAAAUCAAGAUUCCUGCUAAAAUUAAAGUCUUCCUUUGACUGGUUAAUAGAAAUAGUAUAUUAACUAGAUAUAAUCUUCUUAAACAAGGAUAGAAAGGAGAUAAAGUUGUGUUUCUGUGGGCAAGAUGAAAGCAUUGACCACCUUCUUUCACUACUAGAAAAACAGCUAUAGCCAACAUGGACACUAAUGGCGCACUAUACAUGUGGUGCGUCAUUACUAAAUAGUAAUGGCGCACCAUGUGUAGCUGUGCCAUUAGUAACCAAAACAGUAAUGGCGCACCAUGUGUAGCUGUGCCAUUAGUAACCAAAACAGUAAUGGCGCACCAGGUGAAAAGUGCGCCAUUUACUAAGUUUGACCAAGGUUUGACCUAGUCAUACACAUAUUAAUGGCGCACUUUGUAUAGGUGCACCAUUACUAAGUUGACAUAGUAAUGGCGCACCUUUACAAAGUGCGCCAUAACUAUGUGUAUGACUGGGUCAAACCUUGGUCAAACUUAGUAGUGAUGCACUUAGUAAUGACAAACUUAGUAAUUACUAUGUCAAACUUAGUAAUGGCGCACCUAUACAAAGUGCGUCAUUACUAACUUUGACCAAGGUUUGAUCAAGUCAUACAGAUAGUAAUGGCGCACUUUGUGAAGGUGCGCCAUUACUAAAUGCACCCCCCCCUUGGACCGCUUUUUCAGUUUAAAAAAUAAAAGAAAAUGAUGGAAAUGUCAAAAAAAUAAAACAAAAUAAGUUUCCCAUGUGAUAUGUGGUCUAGUUGUUGGGAAAAUUUACAAAUAUGAAUUUCGACUUUAUUUACAAAAUCUCUUUGGAAUUUAGUAAAAUGGGCAUAACUUUUGCAUACGAACUCGGAUUAUAUGAAAAAUCAUUUACUCGAAAAGUUACAUCCGAAUUCAACGGGGGGAACCCCGUUAAAGAUUUUUAGAAUCCCCAAAAACCUAACAAAAUAAAAGAUAUGUGGCUUUUAAGAUCUAGAGGGGGGAAUGGAAAAAAUUUCAAACUUAGUAAUGGCGCACCAUUUGCUAGGUGCGCCACUAGUAUCAGAAAAAAAUUGGUUUAGAAUUUUUUUUGGAAAUAAUGUUUAAAAUAUGAUACGUAAUAUGACCGGAAAGUUUGAAAUAUUUUUUCAAAAUUUCAUCACACUCAUGAACAUGAACAAAGUCCUAGACAUCAACAAGGUUUAAUAGGAUUGAUAUGAUAGAUAUAUCAACAAGUGCCUGUUAAGUGAGCUGGUGCUGGGGUUGGAUAGAACUGAGAAGUUAAGCGUGCUCGGGCUGGAGUAGUGUGAGGAUGGGUGACCUUCCGGAAAUUUUGACCACGGAGUGCGAUUUGACUUGAGAUUAAGCAUAUUGACCCGAGAUUAAGCCAUAGUGACCCGAGAUUAAGAAAAAACGAAAAACAAUUCUGAAAAAAAAAGAAAAAAAUUUGUUAGUAAUGGCGCACUUCUAUGUGGCCAUUACUAUUAGUUACUAGUGGUGUGUUAAUAGUGGCGCGCCUAUAGUGCGCCAUUAAUAGCAAAAACUGAUGCGCCACUAACAGCCUUUUUCUAGUAGUGUUUCUCCUGUUCCGCUGCUAGGCUGAUUUGGAGCCUACUUCAGAGUUCUUCUGAUUUGAAUUCUACCCAUGUAAAUCUAAUGAUUUCUUUGACAAAUAGAUCAAGACAUAUCGGAAACCUGGCAAAAAACUUGUUCUUGUCGAGGUCUCGGCUCUAUUUUGGUCUCUCUGGAAGUGUAGAAAUGAUGUGAUUUCUAAUAGAAAGAAAAUUUAUGAUCCGAUUGUGCUGGUGAAACUAAUGGGUAAUUGGAUCUCUGAUGGGUCCAUUCUGUAGAUAAAGGACGCAAAGGCAAAAAUGUUGAUGCUGGGAGCAAGACUAGUCGAGCAGGUGGCAAGUGAAGUGUUUCGCUCUUCGCAGGGAUGGAGACCUAGAGUCCCUCGACUUGGUGUCUAAUUCCAGAGACGCAGAAGUGAAGUUCGAUGGGCCUUUUGUGCUGCUGGUUGUUGAAGUUGGCUGUUGGUUGUUUUGUUGGCUCUAAGUUGCUUUGUCCUAGUGUUCCUUUUGUGUUGGUCCCUACAAAAAAUGGUUGAUGUCUGUUGCUCUUGGCAUGUGCUUAACCUUAUUUUGGCCCUUGCUAUUCGGGUCUGUAAUAGAACCUUAGUUUGAAUCUUAUUAUGCUCGUAACUUCGUACGUUGUGCAUAUUGUUUAUAGAUGCUUAAGAUUAUAUGGUUUCAUCGUCAUAUGAAAUCAAAGAGGAAUGCCUCUCUUUU
rnacentral:lncRNA from 1 species